GUGAUGGAGUGUUUUUUAAAAAGUGGUCUUUCUUCUCUGUGAGUGAGAUCCCAGCAGAAAGAAUGGGCCAUCAAAGAAAGAGAUACCUUUCUCUGAAGGGAGGAGAGAACUUCCACUUGGACUAUGGCCUUGCCUAAAUAAGAUUAAAUAAGAAGUUGGUGAACUCAAGAGGCUUCCAUAACCUUGGCAACUCAUGACUAGAGCCUCAGGUGAUUACUGACAUCAAAAAUAAUUUGUCAAUUGUUAAAUCAACAAUGGGAGUCACUGUGCAACUACUCCCCAUGUAGGAUCUCUGUCCUUAAUGUGUUGUACUAUGUGAAUUGACGUGGUUAAAGAUAAAUAAACCAUGUCAGAGAAAGGAACAAGAUGAAAGAUUCAAGUCAGAGCUUCCUCCUAAAGCACACCGUGAGAGGCAGCAGAUGUUGGGUCUCUACACAGAAGAUCUGGAUAGAGUUCCAAGCUCUUGGCUUCAACCUGGCCCAGACCUGGCUAUUGUGGACCUCUGGGGAAUCAACUACCAUACUGAAGAUCUCUUUCUGACUCUAUGCCUUUCAAACAAAAUGCAUAAAUAGAAAAAUAAACAUUUUAAAAGAUAA